GCGUGAGUGAAGAAGGCCUUAGGGUUGUAAAGCUCUUUCAGCGGGGAAGAUGAUGACGGUACCCGCAGAAGAAGCCCCGGCUAACUCCGUGCCAGCAGCCGCGGUAAUACGGAGGGGGCUAGCGUUGUUCGGAAUUACUGGGCGUAAAGGGCGCGCAGGCGGUUUUAUCAGUUAGGCGUGAAAGCCCCGGGCUCAACCUGGGAACUGCGCUUAAUACUGUAAGACUUGAGAUCGGAAGAGGAUGGUGGAAUUCCCAGUGUAGAGGUGAAAUUCGU
rnacentral:rRNA from 1 species